GGAGCUGGUGUGGGGCCGAGCGGGCAGCCCGGCCCCGGCCUCUUCCCCCAGAGCGCCGCCGCUCCCUGCGCCUGCAGCCGUCCGUGCGUUCCUCUCCGUGUUCCCCCCAAAGUCAGGGUUCAGCGGAAUUCCUCAUUUUCGUCUCCGGGAGGUUGUGAAACGAGGUCUGUGGCUUUCCUGGAUUCGUGGAGGGAAGGUGACUAGGAGCUCAGAGGAGGAAAGAACGUGUCCGUCCGCAGAAUUCACCCCUUCACUGAGACGUCCACACGUGGGCAUUACAGAUCAUUAGGAGCAGAAACUGCAUCUCUGUUUCUUUUAUGCCUUUGGUACCUUCCAUAAAUGUCGCUGUGUAUGCUGUCUGUGAGUUUGGGAGGGAGGGAGGGAGAGACACCGGGUCGUGAUUUUCCAUAAGAUGCUCCAAACAUCUUCCAGGCUGAAGCUCUCCUGAAGCUCACUCUGUUAGUGAAGCCUUCUCGAGGAACCACUUACAACCACGCACAAGCCCUCGCCCCUCCGUGCUCGAAUGUGGCUGGAAAUAGCGUUCGACAUGGGUCACGGAAAGAUAUAGUGACGUGUUACACGCACUGGCGAAGUGCUUUUGCUCUGGACACGGUUCAUCUUACAAACAUUAUUUUUGUGGGGGUAACUUCUUUCCUUCCUUCUCCAGCCCCCACAACAGGAAGUAAACUCUCAAGUGUAGAGUGGUUCAUAUCAACUGCAUCAACACUAAGAGAUUUGGGGUGUAUAGGUGCUUAGUUGGAGUACACAAACUAAAAGGCUAAGGUAAGCCCAUGCAGGCAUAGUUGAAAUGGGAAGAGGGGGAAUGGAGGAGAACGGCAAAGAUGAAGGCGAGAAGUAGAAAAUAUGCAAGAGAGUAUGAGAAAACAAAAAGAAUAGCGUACAGAAGGCAGAGGAACAUGCAUUGGUUAGAAGAUACACACAGAUAUCUAUAUAAAACUUUGAAUCAUGCCCAAUGGAUGCUCAUGUGAGAUUGCCCCCAGGAAAUCACAUGGUCCUUAAGCAGUCCUUCCUAUUAAUAUAUAUAGUGCUCAAUAAAAAUACAUCUGCAAGAGGUUCCUAGCAGCCUAAAAGCAGGACUAGAGAAACCACAAAAUCCACAAGCACAUUAAGUGAUCAAUCUUUGUAUGGGAUUUCCCAGUUAUUUAAAGGAAACAUUAAAAAGAAGGAUUUUCAAACUCUGGUGGUUUAAAAAAAAUUAUAUAUACUAGAGGAAAUAGCAAGAAGAAAGCACCAAAAUAAACAUUUUUAAAAUGUCAUAAAGAAACUAUGCUAAUUUUUUUUUUUUAAGGUAAAGAUGGGGGAUGCUUCAUAAAGUUUAAAGGCUGUAAUUUCCUUUUAAUUAAAAGGAAAAGAGGAAUUUCAUGGUGCACAAUUACCACAUGAAAAUUAUUCCCAGGUGUUAUCACUUGGCCCAAGACCUUUGCAAAACUUGAAAAGCCAUUGGCCAAAUAAAUUAAUGUGAUCAGCUGUCAUUGUAUCACUCGCUGAUUUAAAAGUAAAGUUAAAAAUUAUAUACAAGCACUUAUGGCAGGUGACUGAAAGUAUUUAAGAACUUUCAGUAGGCCAGUUAUUAUAUCAUUUUCCUUUUUGUACUCUUGCACCUUCUUCUGAGUCACCUGCAAGUGGUUAGGUUAUUCUGACAGCAGCAGCAGUAGCCUGACACGUUACAGCAAUGCUGCACUUGUGUGUUCCUGACCCUGAACAUCUGUGCUUUGUAACUGGAAGGUAUUUGAUUAAAUUCUGAAACUGUACUCUUUUCCAUCUGUCUUUAAGUCUCUAAAGGCCCAUUUAUACAUUGAAACAGUAUCUUAAAGGCACAAGGAAUGACACGAAUGACCCUCAGCCCACUGCAGUUACAGAGCACGAAACGAGCAAAAACACCUUCAGGCAUUUUACAGAAAGUUUGUUUGUGAUUUUGAUUCAACAUUUCUACUUUCCACUCUAAACUCCCAAUCACUGAUUGCAUAAUUAGUACUCUCAGUAACUGAGUCAGUCGGUAUUUAAAAACAAACAAACCUGUAAAUCACAUACCAUUUUUCCCUGUGUUGAAAUGCUAUUGCACUUGUUAGACUGUCUCCUUGUGUUUCUCUGGGUUUAAAAGAGGUGAGCCUGGU